rnacentral:rRNA from 1 species
CAGAGGUUCGAAGGCGAUCAGAUACCGCCCUAGUUCUGACCGUAAACGAUGCCACCUGACGAUCCGACAGGGUUACUACCAUGACUCGGCGGGCAGUCCCCGGGAAACCCAAGCCUUCGGGUUCCGGGGGAAGUAUGGUUGCAAAGCUGAAACUUAAAGGAAUUGACGGAAGGGCACCACCAGGAGAGGAGCCUGCGGCUUAAUUUGACUCAACACGGGGAACCUCACCCGGCCCGGACACCGCGAGGAUUGACAGAUUGAGAGCUCUUUCUCGAUUCGGUGGGUGGUGGUGCAUGGCCGUUCUUAGUUGGUGGAGCGAUUUGUCUGGUUAAUUCCGAUAACGAACGAGACUCUAGCCGGUUAAGUAGCCCGAGCGGUUUUUGAUCUUUGCCGUUCAUCCCCGUUCGACCUUU